rnacentral:rRNA from 1 species
AACAAAAACAUCUCUUUUUGAUUUGUAUAUAAAGUAUAACCUGCCCACUGAUAUUAUUUAACGGCCGCAGUAUUUUGACUGUGCAAAGGUAGCAUAAUAAUUAGUUUUUUAAUUAAAAGCUUGUAUGAAUGGUUGAACGAGGUAAAUUCUGUCUUUAAUUGAUUUAUUAUAGAAGUUAAUUUUUAAGUUAAAAAGCUUAAAUUUAUUUAAAAGACGAGAAGACCCUAUAGAUCUUUAUUAUUUAAUUUUAAAAAUUUAUUUAGAAAUUUAUAUAUUUUUAUAUUUAAUUAAUUUUAUUGGGGUAAUAUAAAGAUUUAAAAAAUUCUUUAUUUUAAAACCAUAAAUUUAUGAUUUUUUUGAUCCAGUUUUAUUGAUUAUAAGAUUAAGUUACCUUAGGGAUAACAGCGUAAUUUUUUUGAAGAGUUCUUAUCGAUAAAAAAGAUUGCGACCUCGAUGUUG